GCUAUUGUCAUUCCUCUAGGAUCUUUUAUCAGGAGUCCUACAUUCUUGACUCCUGCCAGAUGGGGGCACUCACUGCCUUCUUAUUCCUCGUGUGCUCAGUGGACGUCCCUGAGAAGCGGGCUGACUCGCCACCAGAGGGCUUUGUCACCGCCCUUCAAACGAUCCUCAGGCACACAGACAGACAGACAGACAGAGGGAGUCCUGGAUGAAUGGCAAACCCUUCAGAUUCUAAUUUGUUUCUCAAUCAGUUGCUUCCUCGUGUGAAAUGAGGGGACAGACAGCUGAUCUUUCUGAGCUGCCCAUGGCUGGGACCACUGCCUCCAUUCCCAACACCCUGCUGGGGACCCCGCCUUCCAAAGAACAUGCCCCAGGCACACAGGUGAGCUCCCGCCAUGCACUCCCCGUGAAAGGGAAGCCGUCUGGAGGCAGUGUGGCACCUGAAGACGCUGGAGCUGCUGCUGUCAGGGACACACGCCCUGCCCAUUCAUCUGCCUUCUGCGCCGGGAGCCCCCGCAGAUGCGGAAGAUGCAGGGAAUGAUUCAGCCCCAGCCUUAAGAAAAAGAGGCACUGAAGAAAAUGAGUAAAGAGGAGCAGAGUUUCUUUUUUCCUCCCAAGUGAAUCAUUGAAAGAAAACAUCAAAUAGCAAAUGAAUAGCAUCAUAAGAAGUCAAGAGAAAGACCAUGGAAGAAAGAAGAAACUUUAACAGCGCUUUUUUCAUGAUCUUUGAACAAGGAGCUCUAAAUUAUCAUUUUGCACUGGCUCUGUCCCAGCUCAUGUUUGUUGAGUGAAUAAAUAAAUAAAUAAAUGCAUACAUACAUAUUUAUUAGUACAUGGAACACACUGAUUAUCUUCCAUUUCCUAACAACACUGUAUGUAAUCAGGAUUGCAGGCAUGUUAUGAAAUACUAGAAUAGCUGAAUAUUAAAAUUAUUCUGGAAUCA
rnacentral:lncRNA from 1 species